rnacentral:rRNA from 1 species
CCUACGGGAGGCUGCAGUGGGGAAUAUUGCACAAUGGGGGGAACCCUGAUGCAGCAACGCCGCGUGGGUGAAGAAGUACUUCGGGAUGUAAAGCCCUGUCAGCAGGGAAGAAAAUGACGGUACCUGACCAAGAAGCCCCGGCUAACUACGUGCCAGCCGCCGCGGUAAUACGUAGGGGGCAAGCGUUAUCCGGAUUUACUGGGUGUAAAGGGAGCGUAGACGGCAAGGCAAGUCUGGAGUGAAAGCCCGGGGCUCAACCACGGGACUGCUUUGGAAACUGUGGUGCUGGAGUGCAGGAGGGGUAAGCGGAAUUCCUAGUGUAGCGGUGAAAUGCGUAGAUAUUAGGAGGAACACCGGUGGCGAAGGCGGCUUACUGGACUGUAACUGACGUUGAGGCUCGAAGGCGUGGGGAGCAAACAGGAUUAGAUACCCUAGUAGUC